rnacentral:rRNA from 1 species
AUGCAUGUCUAAGUACAAACUUUUACAUAGUGAAACCGCGAAUGGCUCAUUAAAUCAGUUAUGGUUCCUUAGAUCGUACAAUCCUACUUGGAUAACUGUGGUAAUUCUAGAGCUAAUACAUGCAACAAAGCUCCGACCUCAGGGAAAGAGCGCGUUUAUUAGAUCAAAACCAGUCGGGUCGCAAGACCCGUCCGAUUGGUGAAACUGGAUAACUUUGUGCUGAUCGCACGGCCUUGCGCCGGCGACGUAUCUUUCAAAUGUCUGCCCUAUCAACUUUCGAUGGUACGUGAUAUGCCUACCAUGGUUGUAACGGGUAACGGGGAAUCAGGGUUCGAUUCCGGAGAGGGAGCAUGAGAAACGGCUACCACA